rnacentral:rRNA from 1 species
GACGAUCAGUAGGGGUUCUGAGAGGAAGGUCCCCCACAUUGGAACUGAGACACGGUCCAAACUCCUACGGGAGGCAGCAGUGAGGAAUAUUGGUCAAUGGGCGGAAGCCUGAACCAGCCAAGUAGCGUGCAGGAUGACGGCCCUAUGGGUUGUAAACUGCUUUUGAAGGGGAGUAAAGUGAGUGACUUGUCAUUCAUUGCAAGUACCCUUGGAAUAAGGACCGGCUAAUUCCGUGCCAGCAGCCGCGGUAAUACGGAAGGUCCGGGCGUUAUCCGGAUUUAUUGGGUUUAAAGGGAGCGUA